rnacentral:rRNA from 1 species
UAAACGACUCUCGGCAACGGAUAUCUCGGCUCUCGCAUCGAUGAAGAACGUAGCGAAAUGSGAWACUUGGUGUGAAUUGCAGAAUCCCGUGAACCAUCGAGUUUUUGAACGCAAGUUGCGCCCGAAGCCAUUCGGCCGAGGGCACGUCUGCCUGGGCGUCACACAUCGUUGCCCCCCCCCCCAACCCCUUCGGGAGUUGGAUGGGACGGAUGAUGGCCUCCCGUGUGCUCCGUCACGCGGUUGGCAUAAAUAACAA